rnacentral:rRNA from 1 species
UGCCAGCCGCCGCGGUAAUACGGAGGGUGCGAGCGUUAAUCGGAAUUACUGGGCGUAAAGCGUACGCAGGCGGUUUGUUAAGCGAGAUGUGAAAGCCCCGGGCUCAACCUGGGAACUGCAUUUCGAACUGGCAAACUAGAGUGUGAUAGAGGGUGGUAGAAUUUCAGGUGUAGCGGUGAAAUGCGUAGAGAUCUGAAGGAAUACCGAUGGCGAAGGCAGCCACCUGGGUCAACACUGACGCUCAUGUACGAAAGCGUGGGGAGCAAACGGGAUUAGAUACCCCGGUAGUCCACGCCGUAAACGAUGUCUACUAGAAGCUCGGAACCUCGGUUCUGUUUUUCAAAGCUAACGCAUUAAGUAGACCCGCCUGGGGAGUACCGCCGCAAGGUUAAAACUCAAAUGAAUUGACGGGGGCCCGCACAAGCGGUGGAGCAUGUGGUUUAAUUCGAUGCAACGCGAAGAACCUUACCUACACUUGACAUACAGAGAACUUCUAGAGAUAGAUUGGUGCCUUUCGGAGCUCUGAUACAGGUGCUGCAUGGCUGUCGUCAGCUCGUGUUGUGAGAUGUUGGUUAAGUCCCGCAACGAGCGCAACCCUUAUCUUGUUGCCAGCAGUAAUGCUGGGAACUCAAGGAGACUGCCGUGAUAACCGGAGAAGUGGGGACCGACGUCAAGUCAUCAUGGCCCUACGAGUAGGCUUACACACGUCUACAAUGGCGCAUACAGAGGCACAGCUUAGCGAUGUGAGCAAUUCCAAAAAG